UAAGAUCAUGAUGGAUGUCGUGUGUGUUUUAAUCACCAUUUCUAAAAUUUAUUCUAUUGUGAUGAUGACAGUCCAUCGCCGCCAAGAGGUCACAGGAGAAGAACUCGCAGCCCAAGUCCUCGUGGUAGUUAUGGAGGCCAUGGCAAGCGCCCCACAACUAAUCUUACGGUGACGAAUCUUGGUCCGGAUUGUAGGAUUCCGACUCUCAUCAAGUGACUCUUCCCCCUCACGAUGACUUUGCGGACAGAUGUCUCAAUUAUAGUGGUGGAGAUACGAACAACAAUCUGAUGUCCUGAUCGAGAGCGAUGGAGCUAAUGUUUGAACUUGUGUGUUUGAACUUGUGAACUAAAAAUGUGAACUAUGGAUGUGAACUUAUGUGAAUUUGUGAACUUAUGUAUUUGGACUUAUGUGAAUUU